AAAAGAAGGGCAGAAAUCAGAGAGCCGUAAACGGGGAGCUCAGUAUGUUUGGUUCUCUGAUUACGAAGCGAUCCUUUCUUCUCUCCUCCGUCUUCCUCAUCGCCUGCCUUAUUAAAGAAGAUUCGCAUUUCUCCUCAGCUCGCCUUACACUGCUUCUGGCUACGGAAAUAAGGGAGCCCGUCAAUAAAGCGCUUGCUUUUUUCGCUGAUUCGGACUAGGAAUCCGUCGAGAAAGCUGAGAUCUUUAAGCAGGUUUCGUCUUUGUGGCUCCGGGGGCUUGUUUCUGUAGAAAAGAUUCGAUUUUGAUUCUGGUUUAGUUGAGUUUAUUAGUUCUUCUGGGAAAAGUUGGGGUUGUUUCGCACCUAGCUGAGUCUUGGGCUGUUUCUUGGUGCUAAAGAAAGGAAGAAAGGAACAGACUCGGUUUAUGAUCGGAAGCUGUUGUGAGAUUAGAGCGCCUGGCGUUCACAGUUUGGAUCUUUCUUCAUUUUCUUGGGGAUCCGUUGAGUGGUUUGCGGUGGGUGAUGAGGAACGAUGUGCAGAAACGUCAGGGUGGCGGUGUGCCGAGGAAUCACCGCAACGGCAGUAGCAAUGAGGUCUUAUCGGUUCGGUCUUUGUCGAAUUGCAUGAGGAUCGUGUCCUCCGCUGCGUCCAAUGUUGCAUCCACUGUUCGCAAGGCGGGGGUGUCUAUUGUCUCCUCAAUCGCCAACGGCCAUGAUGAUGCGGGCCAUGAUCAGGUGCUUUGGGCAGGAUUUGACAAACUGGAAAUGGAAGGUGAUGUCCACCGACAAGUUCUCUUGUUGGGUUAUGGGUCAGGGUUCCAGGUUUGGGAUGUUGAGCAAGCAGAUGAUGUAAGGCAGUUAGCAUGUAGACAUGAUUUCCCUGCUUCUUUUCUUCAAAUGCAAAAGAAGCCAAUUGCAUUAAAGGGUCUAGUAGAUAGGUUUGCAGAUGUUCGUCCAGUGCUGAUUGUGGUUGGGGAUGGAUACGUUAAUGGAAAUUUCAACAAUUUUGAUGGGUUUGGUUUUUCUUCUAACGGUUCUGUUGGUGGUUGUCAGGAGAUGGAAAGUGACAAUUCUUUGCCUACUUAUGCCCAUUUUUAUUCCUUAAGGACCCAUGAGUAUGAGCAUGUCUUGAAGUUCAACUCAGCUAUUCUCUCUGUUAGGUGCAGUCCUCGAGUUAUUGCUGUUUGUCAAACUUCACAGAUACAAUGUCUUAAUGCUGCAACCCUAGAGAGGGAAAAUAUAAUUGUUACUAAUCCUGUAGCUUCGGCAUCUGUUGUUUCUGGAAGUAUAGGCUAUGGCCCACUUGCAGUUGGCACCAGGUGGUUAGCGUACAGUGGAAUUCCAGUUCCAGUUUCAAGUAAUUGCCCUGUUAGUGCUCAAGAUGUAAGUCCUGCUACGGUGACUCCUUCAAGAGGUAGUCUGAUGGCACAUUUUGCAAGAGAAUCUAGUAAGACACUUGCUGCAGGUUUGGUGACACUUGGAGAUAAGGGGUUGACAACAUUCUCCAAGUAUUACACAGAAUUUGUAGGUGACAAUAAUGGUUUUACAGUGCAUGGGAAUUCCAAUUCAAAUAGCAACAAGAUCAUGCAUAGGGAACCUGCAAACAUGGAAAAUGAUGAAAUGGUCAUAGUUGAAGAUAUUGUCUCUAGAUCAGUGAUAGUUCAGUUUAGGGCACAUAAGAGUCCUAUCUCCGCAUUGUGCUUUGAUCCUAGUGGGACCUUGCUAGUCACUGCUUCUAUCCAUGGCCGUAACAUCAAUGUUUUUCGCAUAAUGCCUUCUCCACAUUCAAAGCCAGAAGGAUCAGGUGCAAAGGGGACUUGCAUCCAUCUUUUCAAGUUACAACGAGGCAUCACAAAUGCGGUUAUACAAGACAUCAGCUUCAGUGAUGACAGUAAAUGGAUAGUGAUCAGCUCGUCAAGGGGUACUAGUCAUUUAUUUGCAAUCUACCCUUCUGGAGGAGCUGCAGACCUUAAGUUCAAUGAGCGUAAUAUUGCAAAUAUCUGCUAUGGAUCAGCUUUGACAACAAAAAUGUCAGUUCAUUUAUCUCAGAAUUCUUGCUCUUCAAAGAUAAGUGAGCAGAGCCUUUAUGGGUCUGGUAGUCCUGUUACAUUAUCAGCUGUAUGCAGAAUAAAGAACGGGAAACCUGGGUUUAAAAGUACCGUUAAUGGGUUAGCAGCAGCUGGUACUGGUAAGAUCAGUCCUUCGCCCGGGGCCAUUGCUUCUGUUUUCCAUUACUGCAAGGGUACUGGUCUUAAUGCCAAUAUCAGCUCACUGAGAAAAAUGUACUACUUUCUUGUUUUCUUUUCUUCUGGCUCUAUCAUACAGUAUGUUCUUCAUCAAUCAAGCAGGGAGUAUUGUGGCACUGAUCAAUCAGGGUUAAGUUCCAUUACUAACGAGUUAUCGCAUGAAGCAUAUUCUAGGUCAGACGUUGAGGCACUUCAGAAAUGGGAUGUUUGUCAUAAGCGGAACAGAAAAGAUGGAUGCGACAAUGUUGAUAUAUAUGGUGAUCAUGGUAGUGGAGAGAAUACUAAAUUUUUAUGUAAAGACACGAGGAAAGAGAUUAGUGUGUAUAACUCUGCUAGUGGUGUUGACUUGAAAACAAAGCUUGCUGCUAAACAAACUCCUCACUUGUACAUAUCUGAGUUCGAGUUGCAUGUUCAUGAAGCUUGGGUUCCCCUAUGGUCAAAGUCUAAGAUUUCCUUUAAUGUGUUGAUGGACCAAAAUAGCAAAGAAGCCUACAGUGGUAAUUCUGUUGGAGAAAUAGAGAUUGAAAGAAUCCCAUGCCGUACAAUUGAAGCUAAACUGAAAGAUCUUGUUCCAGUUUUCGAUCAUCUGCAAUCACCAACAUUCCAGCAACCAAGGUCAGAUGAUUCUGACCUCAUCCCGCAUGGCCCACCUACAUGCCUGAAGACAGGCUUGUCGGAAGUCGGGGAGCAUUCACACCGAAGUAGCUGUAGUUCUCUUGACAGUGUGCCUGAAAAUGCUGUGAUAGCUGAGCUUCCCAAUAGUAACAGCAACGGUGGUUGGACCCGCUCUUCACAAGAUACUGACAAGGGCUUUCUAAGUAAUCAUACAGAUUGCCCAAACAUGGAAAGUAAUCUCGAGUCUGUAAAUAACAAUGAGGGCCUGAAGACUGAGGCCUUGCUCGAGUUUGUAAAUAACACAGAACCUGAAGCUGGAGACACACCUUGAGGACAUCGAUAAUGGCAGACACCAAGGUCUACCUUGAUCUCAGUUCAUAUAAUGAAUUUUCAUUGAACCCUUGCAGAAAAAUAGAGCUUGUUCUAUUGUUUUACCUAUUAUACUUAUUGAAAUAUCUCAAACUAUACCUAGCCUUGUAUGAUGUAUAUCUUUUUCACAAGCAGCUAUCGCGAUGAACCCGUAGGUGGUAUUUCACAGCUAAUCAUAUGGUUAUUUCCUAAUUCUUGUUGCUCCUAUAGCACAUUUACUGCUACAGCUGCAUUGAUGAUGUUGAUAGUUUCUUUGUAACUGGCAGUUUAAUUUUCUUUUUGUGCAGAUGGCACUAUCGAGAGGUAGGAAUUUGUCAAGUAUCAGGUGUUUAGCAGCUUUCUUUUCUUUCUUUUGGUCCCUGUAGGUGUUUAGCCAUUGUUCAUAGAGGCACAUACAUAUACUGGGAAUGUAUAGCCAGGUGGGGUUGAACUUUGGAAGGGAAAGUUUCUUUUAUUUUCCAGAACAUUUGUGAAUGAAGCAAAUUCCAAGAUUGCAAUUCCAAUGACUGUAGUGUAUGAACCAGUGACUAGGCUUCUUCCUCAGUAUCUACUUCAUAAGAAGGGAGACUGAUGUGAUUUGUGUUCAUAUAUAUUUUGUUGUUAUUCUAUGUUGUCCUUCAGUAUAUAUUUUUCUUCAGUAUCCAUUUGGCUUCUAUGUUGUUGUUCUUUUACUUGACACCACUUUGAAUAUUCACCUUACAUAUAUAUCAAUAAGAGAGAGAGAGGUUGGGAAAUGGGCUCUUAGUGGGCCUAUUAAGUUGGGCCUCACACAUGAUAGGCUUUCAGGUUCUUAGCAGUAGUCGAAGGCUCUAAUGGCCCAGCCUCUCUCGUCCCCUCUUUAUCUCUCGUAACUUAGUAGCGCUCCCACUCACCGUUUGGUCUCGGAGCCAAUUCUCUUCUUCCUCCUCGGUGUCGCCGCCCUGGAUUUAGUGCGAAUUCCGCGGUUUCUGGCAUUCCGGUCGGUUCCAGAUCUAUGAGGCAGGGGCCUCUCCACUCUGUGGACCGGCCCCUCACACGGGUUGUUGAUUUCGUCGUCUUGAUGUAGCUUGAGAUGGGUGUUCCUGAGCAAUUCCCCUGUUUGUUCUUCCAAGAAGGUCAGUUUUCCCCAUCCCUUGCGAUUUCGUCUGCAGUUUUGUAUCCGAUAAUUAGAUUUUCUUCAUUUGAUUAUACUCGGGAUGGACUUCUUUUCUCUGUCAAACGCACCAUAAAGGUGGUGACAAUUUUAGUACAGAACUCGAAAUCUAAUUGAUUUCCACGGAAAUGGUUCUGGUUGAAUAGCGACGAAGACCCUCUGUUUCCUGCUUCAAAGGGCUUACCUUUGUUAGAAAUAACUCAUGAGAUCUCGAGCAUGUUCCUUAUAUCGAAUAGAGAUGUUGAUGAUAGAUUUUGUUAGCAGUGCCAUCCAUGUUAUCCACCGUCCCCAAAUCGAAUAACCUAAGGGGGGUCAGAAGAUUGCUGUCAAUUUGCUCACUAUCCCGCUUGUGAGUUUGGCAGUAGGUAUUUGAUUGGGUUCAGCUGUCCAUUUCAGGUCAAGGAAACAUCUUUCAAGAAAUUCACACCACAUUUACAAACUGGUUUUAAUUUACGCCUUUAGUUUGGGACUCCACGACUUUUUUGUUAUAGUCCUUGUUGCCAACAGAUAUUUUUGAUGCUCGAAAGACCAGCCAAUAUGAAGGAAUUUUGGAGGAAACAUUUGAAGCUACAACACAAUCUGAAAGAUGAGGAAUUCCAUAAUUACUUUGAGAAAUUUCAUAACAUUUCUUCAAUCAUAUACGAGAGUUUACAUCUCUGUUAACUAUAGUCUGAUUCAAUAAAAACAACCGACUUGGUGUGCAGAAGAAAGCAGCUUAUUGGAUGAAAUGUACUACAGUGGACUAAAUGCAUUAUGAACUAUAUGAUUCUUACUAAAACUCACAGUAAUAGUCUUUAUGUGUUGGAGUCAAAGCCUGAUCAUCUUCCUCAAACUUAUACAGUACUAUAUUGGCUCUCGGAGAUGCCUUUGGUAACAUUGAGAGUUGCUGUCGUAGACUCAGCAAAUCAAUGUUAUAUCCAGGCACUACCUCUUCUACUCCACUGUCUUGUCCUUCACCAAUCCUUUCUACUUUGUUGUGUCCUGGAGGAGUGACUAGCACCAUGAUCUCUAAAACAACAGCCCUCUGGAGAAGAAAUUUCACCAAACUCAUUUCGCACUUACAUCCUUUGAACUUACACAGCUUAAUCUGCCUCAGAUGGCCAAAAACCACUCCAGAUGGUUCUUGAACUUCUUCUGAUGGAUCAUACAUAUAGGUCAGAUCUUCAGGAAUUGAUGGAAGCUGAAAGGGAAGACAGAUUUUAGUUACAUUAGAUAAAAAGGAUCUGUGAAAUGAAGAUUAAGACAUUGAGAUAAGACCUACUUGAAUAAAAAGUUUCUCAAGGAGUGGGGUGUGGCAGAGCCUGAGGUAGCCAUAGAUGUAUUUGAGGUACUCACUGUUCAUUGAGUCCAUUAGCAACUGCAGUUCUUGCAGAUUCGGCAACACGAGUGGCAAAAGUGCAGCAUCGGUUUCUUCGUAGAUGGUGAAACGCUGUUGAAUAUGGUCGAUUAAGAAUCAUCAAGCCAGGGUGAAUAAUUGUUUUCUCUUAGUAAGUAGCACGAGAUAGUAUUACCAUUAGAGUUGCCGAGCACACUGUUAGGAUCUUGACUUGUGCAAUAUCAGACAUCAGCAUUGUAUAGUCAUGAUAGGGUUCUGUGUGUUCCAUGCCUAUGGAGCUGAUGAAGGCAUCCUCCAGUGAUGGGACAAUGACAUUUGAACUUUCAGAUAAGUUGAAUUCGCUUCCAAAGGCAUAUUCACCAUAGAAGAUGAAGGACUGGAGAUGAGUAGCAGAAAUCUCUAUUUGAUAUGUAUUCCAGCAUUCUACGAAAGCUAACCUCCUAAGCCUGGGGUUCUCAGCAACCAGUUCGAUCGAUUCAAGAGACAGCCAUUCCCUGAGGAUCAAACUCUCUAAGUUUGGGCAGUUGGCUAGUAUGAAUUGUAGCACAUCAUUCGUGAUGUCCACAUCGGCAAGAGACAGAAAUUGAAGGCCACUGAAGCCGGUAAAUCCCAAAGGUGGUUGGACUUCACAGUGGCUCAAACUCAGAUGUGUGAGUGAAUUGCAUGGGUACAAAUGAUCAGGUAAUCUGAAAAACCGAGCUCCAUUGCUGAAUUGAUUAGGUGCCAGAUCAAAGCCCAUGGAAAAGUCCAUCUCAAGUGCUUCGACUCCCUUCGCGAUCGAAAAUGCUAUCCAAUUAUUGAUGUCGGGAAGAAAUAAGUCGAGCGGGCAAAAGUACAGGCGAAGCCUCUCGAGCUUGUUACCUCCGUGAAGCUGUAGGAUUCUGUUGACGACUGCCACAAAUUCUUCUGGGGUUUUGUUGCUCGCAAAUUCUGACCCGAAGUCUAAAGCAGUGGCAGAGAGCUGAAUAAUAGAAUGGAAAGACUGGACGAUGGACUCAGGCAACCCAGCUACCAUCUCCAUGGUUUCUCUCCUAUAUUACAACCAAUUGAUGCUUAUCUGCUGCUAAUGUAGUUCCUCUAAUUAUAAUCCUGUAGGUGGUGGUUGUCAAGGGAAAUCUUUGACCAAGUACUUUUUUCCAUGAGAAGAAUAGUGUCUGUGAUGGACCAGGCAUUCAUCUAAUUCAUGUCCAUUUCUUCCUGCACAAGAUAUUGCUGGUUUCAGAAAUCUUUCAGAGGAAGAUUCUGACAUGAGUCCAUGAGAACUUUCAAAAGCUCUGUGGAACGCUGAAGGUGGCCAUCACCAUGGGUGGCGGGUGUGUGAGACGUCAAAAAUUAUGUGCCUAAAAUUAAUACCUUGUGUGUGAGACUUGUAAGAGUUCUUCGACAAGUUGGAUUGAGAUUACUUGUUGCUUGUCUUUUGGGUGGAUAUACAUGGAUUCGUGAACUUUGUAGUGCUACAAGUAAUAUGAAUAUAUCAUCAUCAAAUUAUUGUUUUUGGUGUAAA